UCAAUUCCUGAUGAUCUGCAAGUCCUUGGAGGCUUCUUCGUGCUGUCCUGAGAUCGCUCAGAGUGUGUGCCCAGCAAAAGGACGGUCCGUUGACGUUUCCUUCAGUGAAAUAUCAGCUCAGUCCGUGCUGUGAAUACCACGGAAUCAACAGUGUUUGCCUUGAGUUGCUGAGAGUGUCGAUGGUCCAGGUGAGGAGCAGGGUUCAUCACCUUGGGUCAGCUGAAUCAGCUCCUUCAGUCGACUCUUCUGAUCACCCUGAUAUCCAUCAGGGGUUGCUGACAGCACCACGGGUGCAUCCCAGUUAAUCAGUAGAGACAGUUCCUCCACCACACUGUCCUCCUGCUUCUCCAUUUUAGCCAGUCUUUCUAGAUAUCUAGAUAUCCAGGAUAUCUAGAUUGACAGGCCCCGUCUGUCCUUUGUCUUACACUGCAGACUCCCAAGGCUUCACAGUGAUGAGGGCUACAAAGGAUUCUGUUAAGCUCUUUGGUGACUCCUCCACAGUUUCAUCUUCCAUCUCCCCUUUCUUUCUUAAUAAAAAAGGCACGAUUCAUUGCAUCCUGUAUCCUUUUUUGCGUACACUGCAACAAGCAUGGAACAGUAAUUAAAGCACAGAGAAAGGCAAUGUGACAAACUGACCCUAUUAGAUGCAAAUUCUGAAUGCAUUCAGCAAAACCCCCAAAGAGAUCCCCACAUACAUUCACAGGUUUCUUUUUUUAGCUUUCCAACCUCCCUUAGAACUUUCCCCUAUUACCACAGUAUAAACUUAGAGCAGCAAUUAUAUUAAUAACACCAUCACUCAGUCAAGGCCUCGAUUGGUAAGACAAAGAAAACACACGAAAAGAGUUACAGAGAAGGUCACGAUGCUUUCAGUCGAUGUAUACACACUCACACCGCAUCUCUUUCAGACAGUGCCACGAGUGGGAAAGGAACCUUCCUAAGCUGAUGGGUUAUGACUGAUUGCCCCCUGCGAGACGGCCAUCCGCCCAAAGGAGAGCAGAGAGGAGGAACUCGCCGGCGGUGGAUGCGACAGGCAGUGCCAGCAGGGCGUCCCCUGCUUCAAAGGGCACUUUGCCUCUCUCACCCACCGCAGCCCCUCUCCUGCUUUGGUUCUUCUCAGGGUCUGCGGGGUGUUUUCCACUGGUGCUCCACCUGGGCUCUGCACCACCCAAUGGCCAUGCGGAUGUGGAGCACCAGUGGAAAACACCCCGCAGACCCUGAGAAGGGUCUGCUUGCAAAACAGAACACACCACCGAGAUUGGACCCCUCUACAAAGCAAAACUCUCACAGACAGUAUGUUCAGCCCCAGUCACUGACUCCCGUGGUUUCUUGCUUGACCCCUAGCUCCAUUUCUUGUGUUUAGUUGCUAAGCUUUCUCUUGCUGGCCAGCAGCUCCUCCUUGUAUUGCUCCAGAAAUCACCUACAGGUGGUAAUUCUUGAUGCAGCACACAGGGAGAGGCACACGUAUCCACCAGAAUGCAACCCUCUGUACCCUGCACCCCCAGCUGCAACGUAACCAAUUCAAUCCUAUCCGUGGGGCUGCUGUGGUCAAACUUCCCAUGUUCUGUCAUUCAGCUUUGGCCAUCAGAGAUGGUUCCCUUCCCCCUCACUUUGGCACACCUCCACCACUGCCCCAUUUCCCUGCUGUGUGCGCACUGCAUUCGGUCCACUGGGGACAAAACUGUCCCCGGGCCCUUCCAGGUCCUGCUCUUGUGCAGCUGCUGUUGUUCUCCGCACUUUCUUCCUAUCCUUACCAUCCCUGUUUCUAUAUACUCUCCAGGUCCUCUCCAUUAAUGUAUCCACGUCCCUUACUUGGCUUCCACCAUUCUGUGUAUCGCUGGGAGAACAUAAAGACAAUCUUGCUCUGCUUAGCCAAAGACCUUGGGAGGUGUAAACAAGACCUGCAGACAUGGAGAGAGAAGGAAAGAUGUGGACAGGCAGAUUGUAACAGUCUGUGCCAGACAGACCCUCUGGACAUAAUCCCGAGACGUCCAGCCUGUACCCCUGGAUGGCUGUGAGCAGAUGCUAUGAAGGCCAUUGGAAAGCCCCACCGAACCUGAGGUGGCUGACGGGGAACCAGGGGUCCAGGUGUGACAAAGGAGCAGAAGGCAGAUUGCCAAAUGGGGGAAGACCACAUUGAUUACAUUUGGAACCCAUACAAAGGAACCUCCUGUUUAUCCUUUGAUGCCGUCUGAUCUUUGUCUUAAAUUGCAGACUCCCAAGGCUUCACAGUGAUGGGGUCCAUCAAGGAGUUUUUUAAGCUCUAUGAUCUAAGCUCACAGUUACAUUUUUGCCAACAGCCUUUCUUGGUGGAUGAAGAAGUGAGCAUGUGCCAGCAGUGUGCCCUUGCAGCUCAGAAAUCAAAGGAUAUCCUCGGCUCCAUCAGAAGAGGGGUGGCAGCAGGCACAGGGUGUUGAUUGUCUCUCUCUACUCUGCCCUCCUGAAGCCCCAUCUGCAGUGCUGCGUCCAGGUCUGGGACCCCAAUACAUAAAAGAUAGGGAGCUGUUGGAGAGGGUCCAGAGGAGGGCCACAAAGAUGAUCAGAGGGAUGGAGCACCUCCCCUAUGAGGACAGGCUGAGGGAGGUGGGCUUGUCCACCGUGGAGAAGCGAAAGCUGCACAGUGACGUCAUUGCAGCCUUCCAUUAGCUAAAAGGAGACUACAAACAGGAGGGCAGUCAACUCUGCAAGGGAUGAUGGUUGCUGGACAAGGAAAAAUGGUUUGAAGUUGAUGGAGGGAAGAUUUAGGUUGGAAGUCAGGGGGAAGUUCUUUACAGAGAGAGUGGUGAGGUGCUGGAACAGCUGCCCAGAGAGGCUGUAGAUGCCCCGUCCAUCCCUGGAGGAGUUCAGGGCCAGGUUGGAUGAGGCCCUGGGCAGCCUGGUCUAGUCUUAGAUAUGGAGCUUGGAAGCCCUGCAUGAAGCAGGUUUUUGUAGCUUGAUGAUCCUUGAGGUCCCUUCCAACACAGGCCAUUGUAGGAGUCUAUGAGUCUAUGGAUUCUUCCUGCACAUCAGGGAGGAUGAAAGCAAACCUAUGGCUCGGCCCUGGCUCGCAGCUGGGCAG
ensembl:lncRNA